AGCAGCCGCGGUAAUUCCAGCUCCAAUAGCGUAUAUUAAAGUUGUUGCGUAAAGUCAAGUCGUAGUUGAAUUUCGGGAUUGACCCAUCGGUCGUGCCUUAAGGGGUAUGAACUGGUGUAGUCAAUUUCUCACCUUCUGGAGAACCGUGAUGUCCUUAAUUGGGUGCCACGAGGAACCAGGACCUUUACUUUGAAAAAAACUUAGAGUGUUUAAAGCAGGCAUUUUUGCUUGAAUACAUUAGCAUGGAAUAAUAAAAUAGGACGGCAUGAUUCUAUUUUGUUGGUUUCUAGGAUCACCGUAAUGAUUAAUAGGGAUAGUUGGGGGCAUUAGUAUUCAAUUGUCAGAGGUGAAAUUCUUGGAUUUAUUGAAGACUAACUACUGCGAAAGCAUUUGCCAAGGAUGUUUUCAUUAAUCAAGAACGAAAGUUAGGGGACCGAAGACGAUCAGAUACCGUCGUAGUCUUAACCAUAAACUAUGCCGACUAGGGAUCGGAUGAUGUUAAUUUUUUAAUGACUCAUUC
rnacentral:rRNA from 1 species